CGCUCGCGGUGGGUGUUAGUGACCGCCAAGCUGACGAAGAGGGUGCGGCCCCGGGUGGGGCUUCGUCGGGCCGAACGGACCUGCUUGCAGGGUGUGGAAAGCGGGUGCUGGGGAUACAGAGGUGAACACAACACAGACAGGAGCUAUGUUGUCAUGGAGCUACAUUUUAGGGAUAUACCAGGGACAGGAACAUGUAAAAUGACACAUGAAGAUACAAUCAGCCAAAUCCAGAAUGUGAAAAAUUCUGUUGGUCACCCCAUCCAGUUCCUUCAGUAAGUGGCAUCAUCAUCAUCAACCACAAAAAGGGAAGCGGAAUUGUUGUAUGUUAGAAGAGAUCUAGGAGAUACAUCAAUGAAUGCAGCAAGUAGACCUUGCUUGGACCCUCAUUAAACACUAAAAGUUUUUGAGACAAUGGGGAAAAAUUGCAUAUAUACUAAGUAUUAGAUGACAUUAAAGAGUUAUGUUUAA